CCGCCGGUUGUAUUUUCAGACCACACAUUUGUAUAUAUAGUACCAAUAUCUAUAUUAUUAGUGAUCCUCAAUUAUGCAGCGUAUCUUAAUUCUGAAUGGUAAAUAUGCAAGAAUCUAAUUGAAAGUAGAUUAAACCAAAGCGGUAUAAUCAAAUGGCAUGUCAUAGCCAUUCAUCACUAUAAAGUUCAUAAUCAUCGUUCUUACAUAUCAUAAUUUGCCAAAUAGUACCAUCAGCUACCAAAAUCAAAGCAUGAUCCCACCUCUCAACCAGCUACCUCAUCAAUAACAACAAACAUCACAGCAGCAGCAAGCAGCAAACAUCACGACAGUAACAUGUUUCAUAAGAUGGCAUGUCAUAGCCAUUCAUCAUUACAAAGUUCAUAAUCAUUAUUAAUAGCUAUCAUAAUUUUCCAGAUAGUAUCAUCAGCUACCAAAAUACAAGCAUGAUCCCACCUCUCAACCGUCUACCUAGCAAUAACACCAAACAUCACAUUAUGCCUCGCCAUCGUUCCUGAAUGACCUUCUAUAUGAGGCAUGCAGCAGCGAUUGCUUGACCUUCUUCACCACAUUGGUGGCCUGAUCCAAGUGUCCCUUCACCUUCUGCACCUCAGCGGCAGUCACUUCAAAUUCCUUGUUAGCCUUUGCACAUUCUACCUUCCACAUCCUUGCAUCAUUUUCAGCUUGCAGAUUCCUGUUAUCAUUUCCCAUUUUUAGGUGAGACAUCACUGCAUCGUGUCUAAUUCUCUUCACCGUGUUCAUCAGCUCAUUGGUUAUAUCCCCCAAUUAUCCUCGCUUCAUCAUGUGAAUCUCAUAGAUUUUGUCAUCCACCUCCUUCUUAGCAAUUCUCCAUGCUUCUUCCCAUGACCUUGCUUCCUUUUCAGUUUUUUUCCUUCCUCUUCAUCAGCUUCACCAGAACAUGUUUAGUCCAGCAUACCAUUCAGGAUCAAUCCACCUAAACGACGUUCAUUUCAUCCCUUCAUUCUGUAGACACCGAUUACGUUCAUACAAUUCGCCAUUUAUAACACUAACAUCAAAAGUAGAAGCAAGGUUUAUUAGAAUUGAAACAAGUUAUCGUUUACCUCGUAGCAGCAUGCAUACCGGCACAUAGGGUUGUCAAAUGUCCA
rnacentral:lncRNA from 1 species